GACGAACGCUGGCGGCGUGCUUAACACAUGCAAGUCGAACGGAAAGGCCCUGCUUUUGUGGGGUGCUCGAGUGGCGAACGGGUGAGUAACACGUGAGUAACCUGCCCUUGACUUUGGGAUAACUUCAGGAAACUGGGGCUAAUACCGGAUAGGAGCUCUUGCUGCAUGGUGGGGGUUGGAAAGUUUCGGCGGUUGGCGAUGGACUCGCGGCUUAUCAGCUUGUUGGUGGGGUAGUGGCUUACCAAGGCUUUGACGGGUAGUCGACCUAAGAGGGUGAACGGCCACAUUGGGACUGAGAUCCGGACCAGACUCCUACGGGAGGCAGCAGUGGGAAAUAUUGCACAAUGGGCGGAAGCAUAAUGCAGCAAAGCAGCGUGCGGGAUAACGGCCUUCGGGUUGUAAAAAGCUUUCGCCUGUAACGAAGCGUGAGUGACGGUAAUGGGUAAAGAAGCACCGGCUAACUACGUG
rnacentral:rRNA from 1 species